GAUCAUGGCUCAGGAUGAACGCUAGCGACAGGCUUAACACAUGCAAGUCGAGGGGCAGCACAGGUAGCAAUACCGGGUGGCGACCGGCGCACGGGUGAGUAACGCGUAUGCAACUUACCUAUCAGAGGGGGAUAACCCGGCGAAAGUCGGACUAAUACCGCAUGAAGCAGGGGCCCCGCAUGGGGAUAUUUGCUAAAGAUUCAUCGCUGAUAGAUAGGCAUGCGUUCUA
rnacentral:rRNA from 1 species